rnacentral:rRNA from 1 species
UACGGAGGGGGCAAGCGUUGUUCGGAAUUAUUGGGCGUAAAGGGCGCGUAGGCGGCUUUUCAAGUGACGGGUGAAAUCCCUCGGCUUAACCGAGGAACUGCCUGUCAGACUGGAAGGCUUGAGACCGGGAGAGGUGAGUGGAAUUCCCAGUGUAGCGGUGAAAUGCGUAGAUAUUGGGAGGAACACCAGUGGCGAAGGCGGCUCACUGGACCGGAACUGACGCUGAGGCGCGAAAGCGUGGGGAGCAAACAGG